GACGAACGCUGGCGGCGUGCCUAAUACAUGCAAGUCGAGCGGACUGAUUAAGAGCUUGCUCUUAUGACGUUAGCGGCGGACGGGUGAGUAACACGUGGGCAACCUGCCCUGUAGAUCGGGAUAACACCGAGAAAUCGGUGCUAAUACCGGGUAAUAUCUGAGAUCACAUGAUCUUAGGUUAAAAGAUGGCUCCGGCUAUCACUACAGGAUGGGCCCGCGGCGCAUUAGCUAGUUGGUAAGGUAAUGGCUUACCAAGGCGACGAUGCGUAGCCGGCCUGAGGAGGGUGACCGGCCCCCCUGGGACUGGGACAGGGCCCAGACUCCUAGGGGAGGCAGAAGUAGGGAAUCUUCGGAAAUGGCGGAAAUUCGGACGGAGAAAGGCGGCGUGAGUAAUGAAGGUUUCGGCUCGUAAAGCUCUGUUGUUAGGGAAGAAACAGUACCGAACGAACUAGGUCGGUACCUUGACGGUACCUAACCAGAAAGCCACGGCUAACUACGUG
rnacentral:rRNA from 1 species